rnacentral:rRNA from 1 species
ACGGGCGGAGUGUACAAGGCCCGGGAACGUAUUCACCGUGGCAUUCUGAUCCACGAUUACUAGCGAUUCCGACUUCAUGGAGUCGAGUUGCAGACUCCAAUCCGGACUACGACGCACUUUAUGAGGUCCGCUUGCUCUCGCGAGGUCGCUUCUCUUUGUAUGCGCCAUUGUAGCACGUGUGUAGCCCUGGUCGUAAGGGCCAUGAUGACUUGACGUCAUCCCCACCUUCCUCCAGUUUAUCACUGGCAGUCUCCUUUGAGUUCCCGGCCGGACCGCUGGCAACAAAGGAUAAGGGUUGCGCUCGUUGCGGGACUUAACCCAACAUUUCACAACACGAGCUGACGACAAGCCAUGCAGCACCUGUCUCACAGUUCCCGAAGGCACAAUCCAUCUCUGGNAAAUUCUGUGGAUGUCAAGACAAGUAAGGUUCUUCGCGUUUGCAUCAAAUUAAACAAAUGCUCCA